ACGGAGGAUGCGAGCGUUAUCCGGAUUUAUUGGGUUUAAAGGGUGCGUAGGUGGAUAGAUAAGUCAGCGGUGAAAGUUUGUGGCUCAACCAUAAAAUUGCCGUUGAAACUGUUUAUCUUGAGUAUGUUUGAGGUAUGCGGAAUGCGUGGUGUAGCGGUGAAAUGCAUAGAUAUCACGCAGAACUCCGAUUGCGAAGGCAGCAUACUAAACCAUCACUGACACUGAAGCACGAAAGCGUGGGUAUCAAACAG
rnacentral:rRNA from 1 species